UGGGGAAUCUUGGACAAUGGGCGCAAGCCUGAUCCAGCAAUGCCGCGUGUGUGAAGAAGGCCUGCGGGUUGUAAAGCACUUUCGAUGGGGAAGAAAAGCCCGGCGUUAACAGCGCCGGGUCUUGACGUUACCCAUAGAAGAAGCACCGGCUAACUCCGUGCCAGCAGCCGCGGUAAUACGGAGGGUGCCAGCGUUAAUCGGAAUCACUGGGCGUAAAGCGCACGUAGGCGGCUAGGCAAGUCGGAUGUGAAAGCCCAGGGCUCAACCUUGGAAUUGCAUUCGAUACUGUUUGGCUAGAGUUUGGGAGAGGAAGGCGGAAUUCCGGGUGUAGCGGUGAAAUGCGUAGAUAUCCGGAGGAAUACCAGUGGCGAAGGCGGCCUUCUGGACCAAAACUGACGCUGAGGUGCGAAAGCGUGGGGAGCAAACAGGAUUAGAUACCCCGGUAGUCC
rnacentral:rRNA from 1 species